GAUGAAGAACGCAGCGAAAUGCGAUACGUAAUGUGAAUUGCAGAAUUCAGUGAAUCAUCGAGUCUUUGAACGCACAUUGCGCCCCCUGGUAUUCCGGGGGGCAUGCCUGUCCGAGCGUCAUUGCUGCCCUCAAGCACGGCUUGUGUGUUGGGACUCCGUCCUCCUCCCGGGGGACGGGCCCGAAAGGCAGCGGCGGCACCGCGUCCGGUCCUCGAGCGUAUGGGGCUUCGUCACCCGCUCUUGUAGGCCCGGUCGGCGCUUGCCGACACAUCAAUCUUUUUUCCAGGUUGACCUCGGAUCAGGUAGGGAUACCCGCUGAACUUAAGCAUAUCAAUAAGCGGAGA
rnacentral:misc_RNA from 1 species